CGCGUAGGCGGCUUCACAAGUCGGGGGUGAAAUCCUAUGGCUCAACCAUAGGCCUGCCCUCGAAACUAUGGAGCUUGAGGCCGUGAGAGGAAAGCGGAAUUCCUGGUGUAUCGGUGAAAUGAGUUGAUAUCAGGAGGAACACCGGUGGCGAAGGCGGCUUUCUGGUGCGGUUCUGACGCUGAGGUGCGAAAGCAUGGGGAGCAAACG
rnacentral:rRNA from 1 species